rnacentral:rRNA from 1 species
CCUGGCGGCGAGCGGCGAACGGGUGAGUAAUGCAUCGGAACAUGUCCAUUCGUGGGGGAUAGCCCGGCGAAAGCCGGAUUAAUACCGCAUACGCCCGAGAGGGGAAAGCCGGGGACUCGCAAGAGCCUGGCGCGAAUGGGUUGGCCGAUGCCCGAUUAGCUAGUUGGCGGGGUAAUGGCCCACCAAGGCGAUGAUCGGUAGCUGGUCUGAGAGGAUGAUCAGCCACACUGGGACUGAGACACGGCCCAGACUCCUACGGGAGGCAGCAGUGGGGAAUUUUGGACAAUGGGGGCAACCCUGAUCCAGCCAUUCCGCGUGAGUGAAGAAGGCCUUCGGGUUGUAAAGCUCUUUUGUCCGGAGCGAAACGGUUAGCGUGAAUAUCGCUGACUACUGACGGUACCGGAAGAAUAAGCACCGGCUAACUACGUGCCAGCAGCCGCGGUAAUACGUAGGGUGCGAGCGUUAAUCGGAAUUACUGGGCGUAAAGCGUGCGCAGGCGGUUAUGUAAGACAGUUGUGAAAUCCCCGGGCUCAACCUGGGAAUUGCAUCUGUGACUGCAUAGCUAGAGUACGGUAGAGGGGGAUGGAAUUCCGCGUGUAGCAGUGAAAUGCGUAGAUAUGCGGAGGAACACCGAUGGCGAAGGCAAUCCCCUGGAC